ensembl:lncRNA
CCCAGACACAGAGUGAAGAGCUGUGGUCAUUGGGAGGCCCUGGUCUCUUCCUUCCAUUUCCUUGGCCAUGUGCGUAAACCAUCAGUUUGUAUCAUUCAUCUUGUAAUUGAAACUCCCUUGGGUUAAAUUCACAGAAAGGCUCCGAGCCUCCCUCAACAGGACAUUCUUUCAGAUCCUUUGAAAGAACAGGGACUGUCCCAAGCACCGUGAGAACAAAACCUGAGCCAGAUCCAGCCUCUUCUUUGAAACGGGUGCAUUCUAGAGAGAGGAAAGACUGGUGACAAGAUUGGCAGAGUACAGUGUGCUGGAUGCUCAGACAGCAAUUUGGAUGCCAGGGUGGCAUAAUCAGUUUGGUGGAGAGAGACUGAAAAGCGUCACUGAGCUUGGGGCAUUGGCCCAUGGAUGUGUUUGGACAAAGGAGGUGCUGAAUAUUUAAAUGAAGAGCAGCUACAAAGGAACUGGUAUUUGGUGGCCGUUGAAAAAGGCCAUGUGUUAGGAGAUGCAGAGCACUCAAGAAGAUGGAGGAGAUGAGAAUAGUAAUGGGUAAUCCAUCCUGAAUUGUGAUGGGUCAUGUGUACAUGCCGGGAGAUGGUGAAGGCCAGGGAAGCCUGGCAUGCUGCAGUCCAUGGAGUCGCAAAGAGUUGGACAUGACUAAACGAUGGAGCAACAACAUGGUGUGCCACACUUAACGGUCAGCAAUUAAUCCUGUAAAUCUGUGUUUCUCAAACUGAGCUUUACCAAAUACUGGAGGCCUGUGGACCUAUUCUCAGAAAUCUGUGAGCACUUUCUGGCAUUUAAUAUUGAUGAUAUUUAAACAUUAAAUAUCCACAAGUAUAUUCUGGGUGAUCUGGAGAACUAACUUGGAUGAAUCUGACUCAAAUCACAUUCGCUAAGAUUUGUGCCGCCAACCUUUUGUGUUGAGAACAGUGUUCAUGCCAAGAACGUCACAACGAGGUCAUGAAAAAUUUCAAGGGAGUCUGAGUGGAGAAGAGGUGUGUGGAGACCAAGUCAUUGGAGUGAACAAGGGAGUAUUAUCUUGGUGAUGUCCAAAGAAUGUGGACUCUGCUUGUCAAAACCAUAGUCACACUGUGAAUGAAGUUCUUUGCACAGCCUGUUCUGUUAUUAACAGUAUCAUCACAGUUUAUUUGCAGUAAGUGUUGGAGUAACGAUUGAAGAAUUUUCCUGUUUUCCUUGCAGAAUUAUUUGUACUAGAAAUAAAACAUAUGCUUAAGUAAUAGAACAGUGGCUAUUGUAUUUUUAAGUGAACAAGACAAUGAGAC